rnacentral:rRNA from 1 species
AUUGAACGCUGGCGGCAGGCCUAACACAUGCAAGUCGAGCGGAUGAGGGAAGCUUGCUUCCCGAUUUAGCGGCGGACGGGUGAGUAAUGCGUAGGAAUCUGCCUAUUAGUGGGGGAUAACAUUCCGAAAGGAAAGCUAAUACCGCAUACGUCCUAAGGGAGAAAAUGGGGGUUCUUCUGACCUUACGCUAAUAGAUGAGCAUAGGUCGGAUUAGGCAGUGGGAGAGGGAAGGGCACACCAAGGCGACGAUCCGUAGCUGGUCUGAGAGGAAGAUCAGCCACACUGGAACGGAGACACGGUCCAGACUCCUACGGGAGGCAGCAGUGGGGAAUAUUGGACAAUGGGCGAAAGCCUGAUCCAGCCAUGCCGAAGGUGUGAAGAAGGUCUUCGGAUUGUAAAGCACUUUAAGUUGGGAGGAAGAGUUGUAAGCUAAUAUCUUGCAGCUUUGACGUUACCAACAGAAUAAGCACCGGCUAACUCUGUGCCAGCCGCCGCCGUAAAAC